AUUGAACGCUGGCGGCAGGCCUAACACAUGCAAGUCGAACGGAGUGGCGGACGGGUGAGUAAUGUCUGGGAACUGCCUGAUGGAGGGGGAUAACUAUUGGAAACGAUAGCUAAUACCGCAUACUGUGAGAUGGACCUGCGUUGUAUUAGCUAGUUGGUGAGGUAAAGGCUCACCAAGGCGGCGGUACAUAGCCGACCUGAGAGGGUGGUCGGCCACACUGGGACUGAGGACCGGCCCCGACUCCUUCGGGAGGCAGGAGGAGGGGAUCUUUGGCAAUGGACGGAAGGCUGAACGAGCAAAGCCGCCUGAGUGAAGAAGGGUUUCGGAUCGUAAAGCUCUGUUGUUAGAGGAGCGGUAACUAACCAGAAAGGGACGGCUAACUACGUGCCAGCAGCCGCGGUAAUAC
rnacentral:rRNA from 1 species